rnacentral:rRNA from 1 species
GACGAACGCUGGCGGCGUGCUUAACACAUGCAAGUCGAACGGAAAGGCCCUGCUUUUGUGGGGUGCUCGAGUGGCGAACGGGUGAGUAACACGUGAGUAACCUGCCCUUGACUUUGGGAUAACUUCAGGAAACUGGGGCUAAUACCGGAUAGGAGCUCCUGCUGCAUGGUGGGGGUUGGAAAGUUUCGGCGGUUGGGGAUGGACUCGCGGCUUAUCAGCUUGUUGGUGGGGUAGUGGCUUACCAAGGCUUUGACGGGUAGCCGGCCUGAGAGGGUGACCGGCCACAUUGGGACGGAGAGACGGCCCAGACUCCUACGGGAGGCAGCAGUGGGGAAUAUGGCACAAGGGGCGGAAGCCUGAUGCAGCAACGCCGCGUGCGGGAGGACGGCCUUCGGGUUGUAAACCGCUUUCGCCUGUGACGAAGCGUGAGUGACGGUAAUGGGUAAAGAAGCACCGGCUAACUACGU